rnacentral:lncRNA from 1 species
UGGCGAGUGGUGCUAACCCGGACGUGAGCACUGUGAAGGUAAAUAGGAAUCACAUCGUGAAUGAGUAGAGCGCAUUCUCGCCACUCUGGAGAGACGUGUAUCGACCUUAGAGGAAGGCCAGCCCGACGUGUCAGCGCUUAGCUUAGGACGAGCUCGAAGGCUUAAGCGAGCGGGUUGCUCGUUAGAGAAGGAAAAGUUGGAUGCUAAG